GAUGAACGCUGGCGGCGUGCCUAAUACAUGCAAGUCGAGCGAACAGACGAGGAGCUUGCUCCUCUGACGUUAGCGGCGGACGGGUGAGUAACACGUGGAUAACCUACCUAUAAGACUGGGAUAACUUCGGGAAACCGGAGCUAAUACCGGAUAAUAUAUUGAACUGCAUGGUUCAAUAGUGAAAGACGGUUUUGCUGUCACUUAUAGAUGGAUCCGCGCCGCAUUAGCUAGUUGGUAAGGUAACGGCUUACCAAGGCAACGAUGCGUAGCCGACCUGAGAGGGUGAUCGGCCACACUGGAACUGAGACACGGUCCAGACUCCUACGGGAGGCAGCAGUAGGGAAUCUUCCGCAAUGGGCGAAAGCCUGACGGAGCAACGCCGCGUGAGUGAUGAAGGUCUUCGGAUCGUAAAACUCUGUUAUUAGGGAAGAACAAAUGUGUAAGUAACUAUGCACGUCUUGACGGUACCUAAUCAGAAAGCCACGGCUAACUACGUGC
rnacentral:rRNA from 1 species